GUAAAUUCUGAGUUGGGAUUCAGACCUAGAUUUUUUCCCUGGGAUCUAGGACAGAAUUAUUCUGCCUUAAGGAUUCUCUUUAUUUCCAACGGAACAUCCCAGUGCUGGAUGAGGCCGGAGGGUUACAACCGAAGAGGGGCUGCAGGUCUGAGUCUCUGGGACCCACAGUUCCUGUGCAGUCCCAUUCAGUCUCCCCCUUGCCCCCAGUCUAACUGAAAAGAGGGAGCCCAACUGAACACGCAGCUCCUUAUACUUGAGGCCGCUUGGGACCUCCCAGCCUCCUCCUCCCUGUUUGGGACCUCUACAUCCUGGCCACACCUGAAGUCCCACGGUCCUACGGUCCCUCUCCCACACUUUUUUUUUUUUUUUUUUAGAUUUUAGAGUCGCAGGCUCCUCUGAGCCAGCCAGGGGACCCUGCCUUGCGCACUCUUUACCACCUCCUCUGCACCCUAAUCCUGUCUGUGCUUAAACAGAUGUCCACCUCGAAUGAGAAAACCGGAGUUCUAGCGGGGGCCUCGUUGUUCCGAGUCCCAACAAAUAGCUCGGUUUCCGUCUGAGUGUCAGGCUAAGCGGCUCCCAUCACCUGCCGCAUCUCGCAGGGCGCAGGGAACCCACUUUCCAACACCACGAAAGGGGUCUCAGCACGGACGCCGCCAUCUUGACUGCCGCCUCCCAGAGCCUGGGCUCACCCGGGAGGGUGCUCGCGCCUGCGCGGACCGCGGAGGGGCGUGGCGAAGAGCGCGGGGGCGAGGCCUCGGCGGAAGGCGCGGGGGAGGGACGCAAUGUGCCCCUAGUGGCGGGUGUGUGCGCGCCUCAGCUCUGUAGCGUCUGGAUUCCGUUUCCACGGUUACGGCGGCGCGAAGCUGUGUCCCAGGCCCAUGUCGCCUCCCUGGAGGGCCACACCACCAAAGAUAAAGCCGUGCUUCUGGCAGGUUCUCCCCUGCAGGAUGAAACCACCCUGGGUCAGUUUGGAGUAGAAGCCCUGGCGACCCUGGAAGUGGUUGGCCGCAUGGCUAGGAGUUAACACUGACAGCGUUAAUGAAGAAUUACCCGUGGGAGUCAUUGAGCUGCUGUGUGAUAUGGUAUUUAAACCAAACACGAUGACCGUGAGAUACCAGAAUUCUACAAAGACCGCAGCAGGAGUUACCCGGAUACAGAAACCACUGCGCAAAGGUUCUGUCCAUGUUUGGAAGCACCUGUGUCUGUGAACAGCUCUUUUCUGUUAUAAAAUUGAGUAAAACUAAAUUUCACUCCCCAUUAAAGGAGACAAGAUCACAUUCAGUUCUGCACAUUGCAGCUCGAAAUAUGAGACCAGACAUUGACAUCUUGGUGCAGAAAAAAAGGUGUCAGGUUUCAGAUUCCAAGUCAAAGGAAUAACAGAUUAUGAACAAAAAAUUUAAUAGUUAAAGAUUUCAAUUUUUCGAUGUGUAUUUUUAAAUUUUAUUUUUCAAAUAUCCAGUGUCAUAAAUUUUAUAUGUUACAUGCUUGCACUGUGGUUCAAUUAAAACAAAAAAAAAAAGUUUCGUGGUUUUUUUUUUUUCCCCUGGGCAUUUGAUUUUUCAUAUACCUAGCCUGUUGUACUUAUUUUUGUAACUUACCUUGGCUACCCAACUUUAGUUUGAGACUUCUGCCUAAUGGAGCUAGUUCCCAUAAUUAGAUUUGUUUUCCUAUGUGCUUCAAGCCAGGAAAAAACUGUCAUUUGCUGCCUCGAGCAAAAUGCCUGAGCUGUAGAAUUUCUGUGGAUAAUAUUUGAGCCAGUUUGUGCUAGUUGUCUCAGCUCCAAAUUCAUUCUUCGUUGUCUGCUCUCUAAAAAUGGAUCUGGGCCCUUUAACCAUCUUGCCUUUGACAGCAGGCAUGUUGCGAAGCUUUGUCAGUGGAGGGCACUGGAGACACGUUGCAGCAGGAGUUUUCCUUCCUGGUUUGCUCACUUGUCCGACUCCUGCAGUGCCCGGCAGUCAGCAGCACCCGGAGCCAGCAUCUCUCCCUUUCUUACCUCUACAGGCAGUUUUAUCAUGAAAUCUUUC
rnacentral:lncRNA from 1 species